CGGAGCCGUCCUUGUGGCUUUUAAGCCUUCUUGGUUUAAAUUCUUUGAUGGAAUAAAAUGAUUAAUAAUAUAUUCUCUAAUUACUGAAAAGGGAACUCCUACCACAUGGCCAAUUGUGUUUGGUGUCCCUGAAACCCUAAUUGGGAGAUUGACUGGAAGAUUCCUAGUUGAGGAAUGGUGAUGGUAUUCUUUUAUCCACUUUGAGAGAAACUUUGAGAAUGUGAACAGCCACAAAUUUAGAAGUUUCUUUUUUUGCUUUGCUAUAUACAUGGACAAUAAUCCUGUACCUUGCCUGUGAUCUUCCAGAUUGCCCUUUCCAGAAUGUCACAUAAUUGGAAUCAUGCAUUUUGUGGCUUUUCCGGACUGGUUUAUUUCACUUAACAAUGUGUGCUUAAGAUUCAUCUCUGUUUUGCCAUGGCUUGAUAGCUCAUUUUUUAAAGUUGCUGAAUAUGGAGGUAAGACAGGUUUGUUUAUCGAUUUUGCUUAUCAUAUUGAAGGACAUUUUGGUUACUUCCAUGUUUGGGAAAUUAUGCAUAAAACUGCUGUAAACAUUUGUGUGCAGGUUUUGUGUGGGCAUAAGUUUUCAAAUCAGUUUGGUAAAUACUAUGGAGUAUGAUUCCUGGAUUUUAGGGUAAGACUAUAUGUAGCUUUGUAAGAAACUACCAAAUUGUCUUUCAAAGUAGCUUUACUAGUUUUUAUUCCCAGCAGCAGUAAAUGAGAGUUCCUAUAGCUUCAUAUCUUCAUUGGCAGUUAGUAUGGUCAAUUUUUAAGGUUUAGCCAUUCUAAUAGUUGUGUAGCGGUAUCAUAUUCUUGUUUUAAUUUACCAUUUCCUAACAACGAAUCAUGUUGAACAUUUCUGUAUGCUUAUUUGUCAUUUGUAUAUCUUUGUUAGUGAGGUACCUAGUCAGAUAUUUUGCUUAUUUUAAAAUUUAGUCUUUUUCUUAUUUUUGAUUUUUGUAAUUUCUUUGCAUAUUGUGGAUGCAA
rnacentral:lncRNA from 1 species